rnacentral:rRNA from 1 species
GAUGAACGCUGGCGGCGCGCCUAACACAUGCAAGUCGAACGAUUAAAGCACCUUCGGGUGUGUAUAAAGUGGCGAACGGCUGAGUAACACGUGGGCAACCUGCCCCUUUCAUUGGGAUAGCCACGGGAAACCGUGGAUAAUACCGAAUACUUCGAGACUUCCGCAUGGAAGACUCGAGAAAGCUCCGGCGGAGAGGGAUGGGCCCGCGGCCUGUUAGCUUGUUGGUGGGGUAACGGCCUACUAAGGCAAUGAUGGGUAGCUGGGUUGAGAGACCGACCAGCCAGAUUGGGACUGAGACACGGCCCAGACUCCUACGGGAGGCAGCAGUGGGGAAUCUUGCACAAUGGGCGAAAGCCUGAUGCAGCGACGCCGCGUGCGGGAUGAAGGCCUUCGGGUUGUAAACCGCUUUCAGCAGGGACGAGGCGAAAGUGACGGUACCUGCAGAAGAAGCCCCGGCUAACUACGUG